GGGGCUUUGUCAAGUAUUGGCCAUAACUAAUUCACUAUUUGACUUGAGUAUUGAGAUGUUUUGGAUCUGUUGCUAGUCAUUCAAUGAACAUGCAGAGACUAAUACCCCUUUCCUUGUUUAUCAACAACCAAUCAAUUUAAGAAAUUAGCUGAGUAAAGCUCAUGCACCCCUCCUGGAGGACCAAAACAACUAGUGUAUAUUAUCACGCUCUUUUCUUGUUUAUUGAUGCCCAAUUAAAUAAAAGGAUGUUAUCACGAA